UUCGGACGGUUCAACAAUUAUAACCUCCCGGUCUCUUCUCAUGUUUUAAUGUGCAAGACUGGAUUGAUCCAUUAUUUCUGUAUUUUGCUUCCAAGGAGGAGGACUUUAUUUAAUUCAGUUGAGCUUCAGUUCACAGCGAAUUUCUUCUCAAGGCAAAAAGAUUUAUAAUCAGAAAAAUAAACCCCAAUCAAUCCAGUCUCAUAGACCAAUAUAAGUGCAUUGAUUCCAGUUAAAUCCUUGUUAUAAAGCAAUGCAGCUGAGUUCAGUUUAAGUAAACCCACCAAAUGAAUUGACUGCAGCAAUCCCUCACACCAAGCAAGCACGAAGAAACCCCUCCUGUCUUUUCAUUUGCCCUUGAUCAAAAGUUUUCCAGACUCCCUUCGACCCAUUUGAUCAAUUUUUAGCGGAAAGUCUUUGUGGUUAUGCCACCUAACUGUGAAUCACUGAGGCAUAAUUAACUCGAGGGAUGAACAUGAGGCUUAAGAACAAACCUUCGGAUGACCCCACUCAGGGUCACAAACACUGAAACGGUGUUUAUCACGAGCUGCAGCUGCCUCCCACAUGGAGCAGAACAUCGAGCAUUAAAUCCUGCCGGAGAAAUGCUGCAAGAGUCUCCGGAUGAUGCGAUGUAAUAAAGAGAGCUGCCAAGAACAAGUUUAUGAGGCCUCAAUGCUGGUAAACGUGUUCCAUCAUGGAUGCAGUGACAUCAUCACUGCCACAUGUCAUCCUUCAAAACGUUUCGUUUUCACACUGACUCCAGCUGCAUUUAUCUUUAAUUUCCUUCCAUCUGGCUCGAGUUCCCUCAAAUCCUGCUGUGAUAAAAGUAGGCUUUACUCUGAAACGUGCAGCGCUGAAGGACUCGAUUAAAAUUCAAGGCAAGUGCUGUUCCUCGACGUUGGCUCUGGGUAAGGUUUGCACUGCAGAACUGGAGGAGAAAGGAUCCUGGGACCGGUAUGAACAGUGCUAAUGGUGGGAGGAAGAACUGUCUCACAUCUUGUUUUCUGGAGAGGACACUUUAGGAAGUUCUGACAUGUGGUUAACAUCCCUAUUAUGACCCUCAAGCUUUGUAUUUUGGCACACCCUGUUCAUAAAUGAUACAUCAGAUUACAAUAUAUUUCCUAUGUUUUGAUGACAAAAGAAACUAUUAGACAGUCUGUCCUAAACUGCUUAAACAAUGUUGAGGCCCUGCGGCUGCUAGUUUCUCAUUCUGUGCUUUUUGAUGUUUGUUUUUCUGCAUAAGUGUUUCUGUUGGGAUGUCGAGCAUCCUCUGACUCUCUCCAGAUGGACAAAAAUCUGAGAUUUAAUCUGUUAACUUUCAUUAUUCCUUUACUGUUAACAAGGUCUCUGUCCCAAACCAUAACAGACCCUACGCCGUGUUUCACAGAUGGUUGGAAACUCUUACCAUUGAGCUUCUCUUCUAAUGUAGCACAAUUGUUCAUGGUAGUUUUUGUUUAAUUUGCAUCCCUGAUUCCUUUCAUCAGUUACCUCUUGACAGUUCCUACAAAAUCUCAUUUCAAAGAAACAGGUUGGUUUUCCAGCAAUAGAAUCUUGCUUAAAAAAUCAGAUUCAGACAAAUCUCUUUAAUGUUUAUAAAACCCCAUGCAUACUUGGACCCUCCUUAGAAAUAUCAUUUAAUGCACUUGUAACAAGUCUCAGUUGUGCCAUGCACAAAUGUUAAGAUGUGUUUUUCCUUUUCAUUUUGAAACAAGUGAUGGCCUAUUUAAAGGGAACCGAGUGCCACAAAGUAAAAAAAAAAAAAAAAAGCCCAGGAAGAAAGCCAGUUAAAGGCUGGGAUGGAGGUUCACCUUCCAACAGGACAACGACCCCAACAUACGACCAGAGCUGCAAGGUUCAGAUCAUAGUCACGUGUUAGAAUGGCCUAAUCAAAGUUACAAGUAAAUACAACGCACGGCGACCACUUCAGACUUUGAUUUGUACUAUUAUUUGAAAAACAUGUUUUCACUUUCUUUAAUCUUCCCCAGUCUGAGCUACUUUAGCAAGAAAUCCUGUAAAAUGACAACAAAUUCAACAAAAGUUGUGGUUGUAAAAAGUUAUAAAAACCUUGGCCAGGCAGUGAAGAACCUUUUAACAUAAACUUUAAAACAUUUGAAUCAAAAAAUGUAACUGUUGGGAAUUUAUUUCAGAAACACAUCUUUAUCAUUAGUGCAACAUGUAUCAUUUUCCUUCCACGUCACAAUUAUGAGCUGCUUUGUUUCUAUCACAUAAAGGCCUUAAAAAGUAAAUUAAACUUUGUGGUUGUAAAGUGAGAAUAAGUGAAAAGUUUUAAGGGUCUGAAUACUUUUGCAAAGCACUGUAAAUGUGUCAAAGGUAAAAAUGUAUGUUUGAAACCGGCAGUUUGUUGAGAAAUAAAAAGCAAAUACUGACCUGA